CUGCGCCGCCGUGUCCGCGCGCGACGCCAGCGUCCGCGCCUGCUGCUCGGGCUCCAGGUACGACACGCAGAUGAAGUCCUGCGGGCGAAACGGGGCGCUUGUGGUCACGGACGCGCGCGGGGCCAGCCCGGCCCGGCAGGGAGUUGCUGGACCUCGGGGAUCGCAGGGGCGCUGGUGAAGCCGGAACUCGGGACACCUGCGCUCUCGGACUCACAUCUCCCUGCCCCCGGCCAGGACCCUUCCGGGAUUACAGCGGUGCUGACGUCACCGCCCCCUCCCCCGGGCACCGAGAGCACGAGUGCGGAGCUGCCCCCUGUUGGACGGAGUGGUAACAGCAAGCAGACACCAAGAAGGGCAGUCCUGCUCUGCCCAGGCCCUGGGGCUGGGGCCCCUGAGACACGUGAGCCAUGGAGAGUACAACAUGGCGUGGUCCAUAAUGUAAUGAGGAGGCAGAGGAGGGCACUACCCUCCUGUGGGGACGCGAGUGUGGCUGUCAGGAAGGCUUCUCGGGGCUGCUGGAGCAGAAGGGGAGAGAGACCAGCCUGGGUGGAGGCUGAGCAGCCAGGAGCUGAGCUCAGUGCUCCAGGAAGUGCAGUUAAUUCAUGCAUAUUCUUAAUCACUAAUGUUGCCUGAAGUCAUUGAAGCUUCAAGAUACUUUGAACUGCAAAAUUCACCUGUGGUCUUAAGGCUCCUGUUCAUCCUUCAUCGCUCAGCUGUGGUGCCACCUCCUCUGGGAAGCCCUCCGACUUCAUGGUGCUGGCUGGAAGCCAGCCACAGAAGACCACACAUUGCAUGACUCUCUUUAUAGAAAAUGUCCAGAAUAAGCAAAUCUAGAGAGACAGAAAGCAGCUUCCCUUGCAGCUAGGUCAACCAUAUAUCUAAGUUUUACUUAAUGAGACUCGAGGGAAAUACCACAUUCAACUUCCGGGUCACGUUCCUGAGGGGGAGGAACAUGUGGAUAAAGAAAAGCUCAAGCAUGGUGGAGCAAGAAGCUUUCCAGAGAACAUCGUGCCCUGUUUCGUGCCCUGCUGGCCACUCUCCGUUUCUGUAUCUGCAAACUGGGACCAGCAACAUCGGCUCUGAUGGCCUUUUGAGAGAAUAUGAUGAGAAAAAGAUUAUGAAGUUGAGGCAGCAGCUGUAAAGGGCUACAGAAAGAACUAUUACUGGAAUCCCUGCUGCUCCCCUGGAGGAAUCCCUGCUGAUCCCCAAGGCAGGAAUUUGGGGCCCAUCUCCUUGGUUCCCGCCAGAGGAUGUUCAGAUCCCACGUCUUCCCCAAUCACCUGCUGGCACCUGGCCUCUAUCUCUGCAUACACAGCCUGGCACGUGACAAGGGCACAGGAAGUAGUUCCAGAACCAUCAGUGGCUCCCCACUGCUACAGUCAAGGCCAGGCUUCCAGGAGUGUGCCCGGAGACCACUCACUGAUGAUUCACCCUGCCAGCUCCUGCCAAACCAUGCAGCCAGUGGCCUCCGAGCAGGUCACCUGUGUCCCUGCCCCUGGAGUCUGCCACACCCACCUGCCUGGCCAAUCCCUUCCUUACCUUCGCUGCAAUCUGACCUCACCCUCAGACAGCCGCAUUUGUGUGACACUUUAAAAGGCAAAGCAGAUUCUGUGAGCAUCAUAUCGAUGAAUUCUUACAGCGACUCUGGAGGUGAGUUCAGUCCACUGUGUUCUCUUAUGGAGGAGGGAAGUGAGAUUCAGAGAAGUUAAGCUACUUGCCCAAGGUCACAUGGCAAGAAUGUGAUGAGCUAGGACCUACUUGGAUCCACCUUUAACUCACCUGCAGUCCCAGGAAACGCACCUUCUGGCCUGCCUCCACCCGGCCUGCCCCAGUCCUGGUGCUCACUCUGCUCCCCAACUUCCACCUCAGGACCAUGCCUCCAUUACCCUCCCGGGUCACAUUUCACGGUGCUGAGUCUCUCUCGCCCUCUGUGGCCUUGAGGCCUGGGACACCUUCCCUAUCUUGCUGUCACCAACUCUUCUUUCUCCCAAAUCCUGCUCCAGCUCCUCAGUGACUGCACUGUUUCAGAGCCCGCCCCUUCCCUCACACUUCGAGCUCUGAGACGCAGAGAUGGGGCUGUGUGAGCUGUCCUGAGUCACUAGACCUCUCUGCGCCUCUGUCCCAUCUUUUUCAUGCCCUGGCACAAGGCUGGGAUGUAGGAUGCUGACUGGACUGAGCAGAGCCCCAUGCAUGUUCUCACUGGGCCCCAUCCUGUCUGCCUGGGCUCAGGGUCAUGGCCACAGAUGCUGGUUCUGCCGGUGUGCUGGGAGCAGCUUCUCAAAUGGCUCUCUGAAGGAAAAACAAAACGAAGGCUGACUUGCUGUGUUUGCCAGUGUCUGAGUUGUAACAGUUGGCUCUCCAGAACUGGUAGAGCAGCCAAUUUCAGUGCACUGAUGGCCUCAGAAGUAACAGGUCCGAUCACACUGCAGGGCAGCUGAGGCUCAGGGCUGCAAGUGUACAGCUAGUCGCUUGCAGAGCUGGGGCUAGAAACCUGGAUCUUCUCCUUCUGUAGGUAAGAAGCAUGCACAAGGCCCUGUGACCCGAUAGUGCUCACGGACCUAUGCAAGCAUCAGGCGUGGCUGAAGUGUGCUCUCUGUGUAGCAAGGGCUGCGUUCUUCUUCCAGGAAGCUGGGAGCCCUGGUUCCUGGCUCUGCCUGUGUACAGAGGGCCCCAGGCAGCGGCAUUGGGAUGCUGGCACAGCAGCAAAACAAAUUUCUGGAGAUCCGAACAUCUGUCUGGCAUGGAUCAGAGCUCACACCUGCCUGGCUCUGCAUCCCAAAGCCCUGCUGGCUGCAACCUCUGUUUCCUGGUGAUUUCUGCUUUCUUUUCUGCCAAGUUCCAUCUGCCUUGCCAUCUGUAGUAUGGGGAGCUGCUCACACUAAGCUGUACAGAGCAGUCAGGGGCCUUCAGAGAGGGAAAGCUCUGUUUCAGACAAGAAUGAGCCCAAGGGUGUUCUCUGGGAUCACGAAGACUGUGAGGAUCUGGAGGGCCCUAACUGCUGCCUGGUGAGUUGUACAAUUGAAGAUUGAAAAGUGAGUCUCACUUUUCCCACCUGAAAACUGGGAAUAACUGUUUUUAAGGCUGUUGUGAGCAUCAAAUGCACAGCUGAAAGGAAGUCUGGUCAUUCAGGAAGCAUUAUUUAAAGAGAGAUUAGCAAACUUUUUUCUGUGCCAGACCAGAUGAUAAAUAUCUUUAGUUUUCCAGGACAUUCGGUGUCUGCCGCCACCGUUCAGGGGUCCACUGUAACAUAGCAACCCUAGAUACUGUAUAUGGAUAGAUGCAACUAUGUUUCAAUAACAAUAAAUAUAUAAAAGCAGGUGGCAGGCCAGAGUUGGUGGGGGGGGGGCUAUGAUUUACAGACCCCCUGAUCUAGAAAAAGGAUUUAUCCUUUUUUAACUACCAUCGCCCCAGUUGUCCCCAUGGGCUCUUUCCGGGAGCAGGUGGCUGGUGCAGUGAUCCUGAGGCACACAAGGCUCACAACGGUGAUGUGCUUUGAUCUUUGCUCUCUGCCAUGACUGCUGCUGACAGCAGCUUGCUUUCUUCCUGAACACCCCACCAACCAGGUCUGAGGCCCUUAUAAUGGGCACCCGGGGUCCUGUCGCUGAAGAGUGGAAAAAUGAGUGUGUUUACUCAGAGAGGCCUUCCCUGAGGGCUGGGCCAGGAAGCACCUGGCUUCGACACCCAGACCCUUACCCUGCUUGCUUGAUUUGGGGACAUCUUAAAGACCGGGACUGGUCUUCCAGGGUUUUUCUGUUCACAUCUCUACUGUCAACAGAUGGUUUUGCAAUGUUGGAUGAAUUUAUUGAUGAAAGCAUAAGAGGGCAGAAGUUGAAACUUUCCAAUGCAGUGGAAUUUGAACUGGCCUUUCUCGGAGGGGCAGCUCACGCAUGUCAGCUUCUCUGGCUGGCCAGGGUGGGGGCGGCAGGACUGGAUGCCCAGUUCCUCUCCUGUUCCCUGAUGGCACCCUCAGGGCCACUCCCAGCUCUGUCCGGGCCUCUAGACAAUUCCCUCGAUCCAGUUUGAACAUUACCGGUUUAGGUUAGACUUCCAGCUGCUGGCUGAGUGACCGAGGGCCUGGGGAGAAGGACUGGUGGGCAGGUGGUGACCUCUACGCUCUGUGGGUGGGGUGAGCCAUGGAGCCAGCCCGCCUUCCUGCUGAGCUCCUGAGCCCGUGCUCGGUGGCUUGCCCUUUGCAGAGACACUGGUUAAGUCCAACUUCUGCCCUGAGCAACACUGCAUCUGCCUGGCAUCAUCCCAACUCCCAGGCUUCCUCUUCAGGGAGCUCAGCCCACUAUGGAGGCAGCCAGGCAGCUACAGCCUCCCAGACUGGCUCUGAGAAGCAUCAGGCUGCAGGGUGCAGAAACCAUGACUUAGGCCUGUCUUUUCUGAGGCCAUCUCUGACCGCUGGUGCCCCAUGGAGGAUGGCUGGGGAUGCAGGCCGGGGUUCCAGACCUGCUCUACCGCUCAGCUGCUCAGAGUGGCCCUGACCAUGCUGACUGCACUGCGACUCAGUUUCCUUGGAAAUAGGGAGCACAGUGACAUCCACCUGCCAUGGAGUGGUUGUUAGGGUGUAAGGAAAAGAUGGCGUGUGCUUAGCAUGCUGCCUGCUGGGUGCCCGGGCUGUGGGUGGUGUAAGACCUGAUCAUUAUGAAGGUCAGGAGGGCAACGUGUCCUAAGAACCUUAGUGCAUGACAUCGCAGAGGGGCUCAACUCCAGCUGUGCUGUGGGGUGGAAAGUGAGGUCUCUGUGUCACCAGGCGUCAAUGCCCGGGGCACCUAAAUUGCCUCUCUCCACAUGGAUCUCUACAUGACAAUUGGUAGCCCCCAAUUCAACUGAACUUACAUAAGUGAGAAAUAAACUUCUGAGUUAGAUAUAAUAGAGUUUAGAUGUUACAGCAGCCAGUAUUUCCUUAGUUAAUUAUCUAUCUAUCAUGUACCUACCUACCUAUGUAUCAUUUGAGACUAGAAAUUCUCCAAAACACUACCACUGAUCAAUUUUUCAGCAAUAAACACGAACAACCUUUGUCAUCACAA